AUAGACCAAAGUUGACCCUGCUUUGAUCCAGAACCCAUGACUUCUCUUACGAAAGACUUCCCCGCCAUCCGAGCAUGCAUUUUUGACAUGGACGGUCUCCUCAUCGACUCUGAAGACAUAAUCACGAUGUCAAUAAACCAGCUUCUUGAAAAGUACGGGAGGCCUGCUUUAAGCCGGUCAAUCCGGGCCAAACUCAUGGGUGUUCCAAACUCGACUAACAGUGACGUUUUCCACGACUGGGCUCAACUGCGUAUCCCUCGCGAGCAAUUCGCCCACGAAGCGACUGAGCA
rnacentral:sRNA from 1 species